rnacentral:rRNA from 1 species
CUACGGGCGGCAGCAGUGGGGAAUAUUGCACAAUGGGCGCAAGCCUGAUGCAGCCAUGCCGCGUGUAUGAAGAAGGCCUUCGGGUUGUAAAGUACUUUCAGCGGGGAGGAAGGGAGUAAAGUUAAUACCUUUGCUCAUUGACGUUACCCGCAGAAGAAGCACCGGCUAACUCCGUGCCAGCAGCCGCGGUAAUACGGAGGGUGCAAGCGUUAAUCGGAAUUACUGGGCGGAAAGCGCACGCAGGCGGUUUGUUAAGUCAGAUGUGAAAUCCCCGGGCUCAACCUGGGAACUGCAUCGGAUACUGGCAGGCUUGAGUCUCGUAGAGGGGGGUAGAAUUCCAGGUGUAGCGGUGAAAUGCGUAGAGAUCUGGAGGAAUACCGGUGGCGAAGGCGGCCCCCUGGACGAAGACUGACGCUCAGGUGCGAAAGCGUGGGGAGCAAACAGGAUUAGAUACCCGGGUAGUC